UACGUAGGGGGGCAAGCGUUGUCCGGAUUUAUUGGGCGUAAAGAGCGUGUAGGCGGCUAGGUAGGUCCGCUGUGAAAACUCGAGGCUCAACCUCGAGAGGUCGGUGGAAACCAUCUGGCUAGAGUCCGGAAGAGGAGAAUGGAAUUCCUGGUGUAGCGGUGAAAUGCGCAGAUAUCAGGAAGAACACCCGUGGCGAAGGCGGCUCUCUGGGACGGUACUGACGCUGAGACGCGAAAAGCGUGGGGAGCGAACAGG
rnacentral:rRNA from 1 species